rnacentral:lncRNA from 1 species
CGAAUUUUAAUAUCUUAAAGUAACUUGAACUUGACCUGAGCUUGAAACGUGUGGACUCGGCCGGUUUUAGGUUGCUACGUAGAACUAGCCUACAAAGAAAUUCUUUGAGCAUCGUAUUUGACGUAGAAAAUCCAAUAUAGAGCGUAUCAUUUUUUUCGAUUAGUCCAUAUAGUCACCAUUUUUCAACAUGCAUUUAAUGCCAGU